rnacentral:rRNA from 1 species
UGUAUAAUGGGUCAGCGACUUAUAUUCUGUAGCAAGGUUAACCGAAUAGGGGAGCCGAAGGGAAACCGAGUCUUAACUGGGCGUUAAGUUGCAGGGUAUAGACCCGAAACCCGGUGAUCUAGCCAUGGGCAGGUUGAAGGUUGGGUAACACUAACUGGAGGACCGAACCGACUAAUGUUGAAAAAUUAGCGGAUGACUUGUGGCUGGGGGUGAAAGGCCAAUCAAACCGGGAGAUAGCUGGUUCUCCCCGAAAGCUAUUUAGGUAGCGCCUCGUGAAUUCAUCUCCGGGGGUAG